rnacentral:rRNA from 1 species
AACGAACGCUGGCGGCGUGGAUAAGGCAUGCAAGUCGAGCGAUGCCCGCAAGGGCAUAGCGGCAGAAGGGUUAGUAACACGUGGGUAAUUUGCCUUCAGGCGUGGGAUAACCUUCCGAAAGGAGGGCUAAUACCGCAUAACAUUUCAGACCCGCAUGGGUUUGAAAUCAAAGGUGGCUCGCAAGGGCUGCCACCAGAAGAUGAGCCCG